rnacentral:misc_RNA from 1 species
CAAAGUUACACAAACCGCGAUCGAUUUAUCUCUAAACAAGGAAGUCGGCGUCGAUCGUAUCCACCGACUCGCGAUCUGACAUUUUCGCAGCCUUUCACCGGGUCGCUGUAGUAGCCAGUAGCAACAGUAGCUACCGUCCAAGGAACGCAAACAUUUCUAUCCAGAAUGGAGUCCAAGGACCUCUCGCUGGCAGACAGACAGAUCACAAGGAUGCAAAACGCGAUUCAAGAACGAAUUUUACAGAAUCGCGAUCGUGAAAGCGCGAAAAGGUAGCGAGACCAAUGGAUUCUCUACAAUUUAUAGCGAGACUCUACGAGUAGUGAAAUAUAUCUAUGAAUUAACCAGUCUAUGAAUAAACUGUGAAUAAAAAUCUAUGAAUAAACCAACGGCUAAAAGGAAUAUUCAUGAACUUUUUGUAGAAUCAGCGGCUAAUAAAUUUUAAUUACUCGUAUAAACAUUGACCAACGAUAUAUUAAAAUUCAUUACGCAUUUCCUUCGAUCGAUAACCUACUGGUUUGAAAUAUCUUGCUGGAAUAACUGCUCGAAUGAAUCACGGUAACGCGUUAAUAAAUUUGGAGGAACGUUUCUUAUUCGAUCUGUGUCUUCGAGAUGCAGACGAUAUGGAGAUAAGCAGGAUUUCCA